UCUCCGUUGGUGAACCAGCGGAGGGAUCAUUACCGAGUUUACAACUCCCAAACCCAAUGUGAACGUUACCAAACUGUUGCCUCGGCGGGAUCUCUGCCCCGGGUGCGUCGCAGCCCCGGACCAAGGCGCCCGCCGGAGGACCAACCAAAACUCUUUUGUAUACCCCCUCGCGGGUUUUUAUAUCUGAGCCAUCUCGGCGCCUCUCGUAGGCGUUUCGAAAAUGAAUCAAAACUUUCAACAACGGAUCUCUUGGUUCUGGCAUCGAUGAAGAACGCAGCGAAAUGCGAUAAGUAAUGUGAAUUGCAGAAUUCAGUGAAUCAUCGAAUCUUUGAACGCACAUUGCGCCCGCCAGUAUUCUGGCGGGCAUGCCUGUCCGAGCGUCAUUUCAACCCUCGAACCCCUCCGGGGGGUCGGCGUUGGGGAUCGGCCCUUUACGGGGCCGGCCCCGAAAUACAGUGGCGGUCUCGCCGCAGCCUCUCCUGCGCAGUAGUUUGCACACUCGCAUCGGGAGCGCGGCGCGUCCAUUGCCGUUAAACACCCAACUUUCUGAAAUGUUGACCUCGGAUCAGGUAGGAAUACCCGCUGAACUUAA
rnacentral:rRNA from 1 species